UUAUGACUCAUGCUGUGUAGGGCGUCUCGUAUUUUUAUCAGAGCGAUGUCAUUUUUCACAGUUUUGGUCGCUCAGCUUUCACGGGCAGUUUCCCUUCCCAAGCUCCAGAGGUUCACAGUGAAAACUGCGAACGCUAUCUUCACAAACAGCGACAGACGGGCCAAUCGGGGCGGGGACGUCACAAACGCGCUCGAGUCAUGCGGAGCCGCCGCCACGGAGGCGCUCGGCUCCCUCCAGUGGACACGCAGCGGUACUGCAGUCGGGAGUCGCUGGAAGAUUAUUUGCUGAAUUCCUUACCGAUGCGGCUAUCUCGUGGAGAGAAAGUGGAACGGUUACGUCAUGUCCUAAACAAUCUGAUUGGAUAAAAGACAAGUCACAAAUUAAAUGACUUCUGAUUGGCGAACGCAGUUAGCGAAUCAAAAGUUAGAAAUGCGUUACCUAAUUUGUAUAGCCCCUAUAGCUGUCCAAGGUGCGCACCUGUUUAAAAAUAUACAUUUAUUAUUAAUAAAACAUUUUUUUAGUACACGUGUCCACGUCAGUAUUUUAAUAAUAUUAUAUUUUCAUGCUUUUAGUGAAGAAUUGUUUUACUAUCAGUCAUAUUUUAAAACGGGCAGUUUCGAAAUAACCAAAGUAAACAACGAUUCUAAACCGGAACGUGCCUGAAGGAAUCAACUGUAGUUCUCUUUUAUAGCGGUUUAAAAUGUAUCUAAAAGUAUAUACGGGUGUUUGCAAUAAUUUAAUCUCAGACGUAGAAAUAUAACCAAGAUUCACGACGACCAUUGUAUUGAUAGAGCAGUUGUUUAAAUAAAAGAGCAGCGUCAGUUUUGGAAAUAUCACAUUUUAUAUUUGUGUCAGUUUUUAGUUAAGUAAAUUGGAAAAUUACAAGCGGUGUGUAUUUCAGUAUGCUAACGUGACGUUUUUCAGCAGGUUUCAUUUGAUUUUAUGAAGCAGAAUUAGUUAACACUCAAAUCAACCCCUCGACAGCAGUUCUACUAAAUGUCCACACGAGGGCAGCAUUGGAUAGGAAAUGAAAGCUAAAGCCUCGUCUGUCUCCCUGAAGUUCGCUACCAAUUGUAAAGAGCAGAGGACAGCUCAGCCGGAGGCGUGUGUCUGUGUGAAACGACUUUAUUUCAUGUGAUAAGUUUGUGGAAGAAGGACGCCAUGUGAGGAGGCGUUUGCUCUUGUUUUACACAAACUACGAGGGACAGCGCUCGUUAAACCAGGUCUGUGAGGAUGAGAAGGUCUCCACAGUCUGGAGUCUGGUCUCUGACAGGCUCAACAUACCUGUCAAUCAACAGGGACUCCUCUACAAAGGCAAGGCGCUGGCAGGUAGGCUGAACAGCACAGCACAGCACAGCACAGCUCACCCCUCCUCUCACCCCUCGCCUCACCCCGGGUCAGUGUGGCACAGCCUGCCUGCUCUUCUGAACAAACACUUCAGCCCUGCCGACGCAGUGAGAGUUUGGAGCAGCUACACGAGGAUUACGAGCGGAGGCUGCGCUUGUUGAGCCUGGAUGAUAUGGAGCGGCUGGCGACUCACAUGCUUCACCCUGAGGCUGUGGAGUGCAUGGAGCUGUCCUUCCUGGAAUGAGGAAUAAUGCUGCUGCCCUCUCCCCUCCCCCCUCUCCUCUCCACCUCUCCCCUCUCCUCGCCAAGGAGUGGAGGUGAGGAGAGGGAGGAGAGAGAGGAACCUGCUACUGAGGGAGCUGCAGCUCUGAGGAGAGAGAGGGAGGAGGGAGAGGAACCUGCUACUGAGGGAGCUGCAGCUCAGAGGAGAGGAGAGAGAGGAACCUGCUACUGAGGGAGCUGCAGCUCUGAGGAGAGGAGAGAGAGAGAUUAGAGAGAGGAACCUGCUACUGAGGGAGCUGCAGCUUUGAGGGGAGGAGAGAGAGGAACCUGCUACUGAGGGAGCUGCAGCUCUGAGGAGAGGAGAGAGAGGAACCUGCUACUGAGGGAGCUGCAGCUCUGAGGAGAGAGAGGGAGGAGAGAGAGGAACCUGCUACUGAGGGAGCUGCAGCUCUGAGGAGAGAGAGGGAGGAGGGAGAGGAACCUGCUACUGAGGGAGCUGCAGCUCUGAGGAGAGGAGAGAGAGGAACCUGCAGCUCUGAGGAGAUCAAAUCUUUCUUCAGGUGUUGUUAUUUUGAUAUAGUUUUGAGGUUGAAUAUUUCAGUCCAGGUUUGAAGCACUCACUCUUCAUUACUGAUAUUUAAAUCCAGAAGAAACACAAAAUAAAUAAAAAUCUGUGUUGAA